UGAAUUGACUUUAUGGAACUACAAUUUGAUACGAAAUUCUACAAUAAUUGGAUUUUGUAAAUGCUGAUAUUAAUUGAACAGUUGACCGAGUGAACAAGAAAACCACAAUGGUUUGUACAGAUGGUUGAACAGUUGCAACGAAUGACUGUGAGAAGGUCGAAGAGAAGAAGAAAUUAGUAUGUUCAAGUGUACUAUUUUUCACUGAUCAAUUGUAACAGAAUGUCCUGUUUCUUGAAAUGCAGAGGGAGUAGCAUGUAUCAGAAUGUCAUGUUUCUUUUUCCAAAGGAGGCCUAAAUUCAUCUCAUCACCUUCGCAAUUCAUAUACACAAACAUCUCUAAGGGUGAAUCUCUUUCUCACCGACCAAUACACAACACACUAAACCCUUCUUUUCAGAGUUUUUUGUUGUGGAAAAUGCAGAAAAUUAAUGGAGGGUGUGGAGUUAUGGACAGAGCAGAUUGUCGUUGAAGGAUGUUUGGUCCAAAGUUUCUCAGGUUUUGACAGUUCUUAAUUGCAACUGUUGAAAAAGAAAUUAAAUGAAUAGAUGAUAAGACAAAUUUGUGGUUAUUAAACAUUCUUGUAUUAGUCUGAAAUGCAGAAAUUGUUCUUAAGUUGAUGCAGUGAGGAUUGAGGUAGAGAACUCUGAAACAAUCCUCAACAAUUUCAUACAGUUUCCAGAAUGUAAACAAUUAAUUUGAUAGAAAGAAUGCUAAGAGAAAGGAGAAUGAGCUGAAUAGAACAAUGAGAAGAGUUUUCAUUAAUCGAAAAUAUCCAUGUCACUCAGUAAACAAAAAUAUUUAUGAAUACAAAUUCCAUCAGUUCUUCAUGA